rnacentral:rRNA from 1 species
ACUGGCUUUCUCGAGGUCCGAGUUGUAAUUUGUAGAAGGUGCUUCGGAUGCAAUAUUGGCACAAGUCCUUGGAAUUGGGCGUCAGAGAGGGUGACAAUCCCGUUUUGGCCGCUAUAUUCAUCCAUGUGAAGUCCUUUCGACGAGUCGAGUUGUUUGGGAAUGCAGCUCAAAAUGGGUGGUAGAUUUCAUCUAAAGCUAAAUAUCAGCCAGAGACCGAUAGCGCACAAGUAGAGUGAUCGAAAGAUGAAAAGCACUUUGAAAAGAGAGUUAAACAGCACGUGAAAUUGUUGAAAGGGAAGCGCUUGCAACCAGACUUGCUUGCAAUAUUCAGCCUCCUGAAAAGGUGGUGCAUUUGUUGCUUGCAGGCCAGCAUCGGUUUCGACGGUUGGACAAAAGCUCAAGGAAAGUAGCUUUGGUAACAAAGUGUUAUAGCCUAAGCAUAAUGCAAUCAGUCGGGACCGAGGAACGCGCUUUUGCGAGGAUGUUGGCAUAAUGGUUGUUAGCGACCCGUCUUGAAACACGGACCAAGGAGUCGACCAAUUAAGCGAGCGUUAGGGUGUAAAACCCACAGCGCGUAAUGAAAGUAAACGUAGGUGGGAAGCUUUAUAGCAGCACCAUCGACCGAUCUAAGUUCGCGAGGAUUUGAGUAUGAGUUUCAUUGGUCGGACCCGAAAGAAGGUGAACUAUUCCCGAAUAGGUCGAAGUCAGGUGAAAACCUGAUGGAAGACCGCAGCGGUUCUGACGUGCAAAUCGAUCGUCAAAUUUAGGAAUAGGGGCGAAAGACUAAUCGAACCUUCUAGUAGCUGGUUCCUGUCGAAGUUUCCCUCAGGAUAGCAGCAACGAUAAACAGUCUCAUGAGGUAGAGCAACGAUUAGAGGCCUUGGGGUUGAAACAACCUUAACCUAUUCUCGAACUCCGAAUAUGUGAGAAGUCCUUGUUACUUAAUUGAACGGGACAUU